rnacentral:rRNA from 1 species
ACAGAGGCCACGAGCGUUAGGCGGAAUCACUGGGCUUAAAGCGUGUGUAGGUGGAUGGGUAAGUACCUUGUGAAAUCCCACAGCUCAACAGUGGAACUGCUUGGUAUACUGCCCGUCUUGAGGCACUCAGGGGCGAGCGGAACAGAUGGUGGAGCGGUGAAAUGCGUAGAUAUCAUCUGGAACGCCAAUGGUGAAGACAGCUCGCUGGGGGUGUACUGACACUGAGACACGAAAGCCAGGGGAGCAAACGGGA